ensembl:lncRNA
GGGGGGAGUUGGCCUAAUGCCCCUGUGGGCUCGGCCUGCCGCCGCCGCGGGGGCCUCUGACACUGCGCGCCAGGCCAGGUUCCGGAAGACAGUCUGCGCGGGCGGGGAGCGCGGGCCCGGGAGGCCCUCGCGCGCCAGGCUGCCCGCAGCAGGGGGCUCGCACGCAGCCUUCCUCCGCCACCCUCCGGGAGCUGGGGUGCGGGCUAGGACGAGGUGGGGGGCGGAGGCGCCGAGCGCAGGACGGCGCAGGAGCCGGGCGCGACGUCGCACGCGGGGAGCCAGGAAUCAGCCCACCAGGAUGCCAUCCUCCUGAGGACUUGUGGGAAAUGAGCGAAACAGAAGAACCACAGAGCCAAGCUCAGGUGCAUGUUAUGAGCUUUCCAUCUGGCUCGGAGACAAGGCUGAGGGCAUCCCUGCCAUCAGGUGACACAGCCCCAAGUGCCUGAUGGGGUACACGGUCCAGGGCAUCCAGGCAGGGAGCAGGGUGGGGAUGUCCACCUGGUACUCCAGGAGGGGCUCCUGCCCCCUGCCUCUGCCUGCCAGCCCAGACCAACCCCCAUCCCAGGGGGUGUACCACCUCAUCUGCAGUGAAAACUCAGGUGCAGGCUCCCUGGGCAGGGCAGGGCAGCUCAGCGAUUUACAUGACAACUAAUAUUAGAUCUUUUCCGAAAGCUUAGUUUAAUGAGAGGAGAGAGAAGUCAGUGUGUGGGUUUUUGAACCUGGGAAGUGUGUUAAGAACUUUGGAGGGACAAAGAAAAAGGCCCUGGGCAGGGACAGAGUGAGUUAGUAAAUUGUGAUAGUCUUGCAACUGGCCAAACAGAGAAUUCCAACAACAAUAAUAGUUAACAUUUGAGGGUUUACCGUGCGCUGGCGACACGCAGUGGCUCAUCUGACAACUUUGUUAGAACCUCUGGGACAGCUGUGCUGAGUGGGCUCCAUGACCAGCCUUCUUAUAAAUGAGGACCCGAGGCACAGAGAGGCUCACUCACUUGUCCCGCAUCACACAGCUAGUUAGCAGAGGAACUGGUUCCAACUCUCUGUCUCUGCCCUUUGCCACAACAUCACCCCUUCUCUGCCCGAUGUCCAUUAGCCUCAGCACCGCCUCAUUGGAUGUGCCUGAUUCACCUCUUUGGUCAUUGCCUUCAUGAAAAGGACCAUUUGCUUACCCCCACACCCCGACCCCAGAAGAGACAGCCAAGGGCUGUGAAGACAUGUGUCUGUCCCCAGUGCCUUAGAAAGGGCACAGGAGAUCCAGAGGCCAGAGGACUCACUGUCAGCACUCCAGGGAACUGAAUGACACCUCAAGCUGGUCACUGGUCUUCUCUGAACUUCAGUCUCUUCAUCUGUCAAGUGGAGGAGGGCAUGCUUCAUGUGGCAAGAGUUCUUUUUAGCACUGAAGUUCCAGAGCGCCUCCCCCCUAUUUGCUCACUGUGUGAACGUCUGAGUGCUGUAAACUCCUAUGCCUCGAUUUCCACAGCAGUCCAGUUUUAGUAUGAAUUGUGCUUCCUCUGUGAAGCUUCAGUGGGAUGGUGCAUAGAGAUGUACUCCAUGCAGUCUGCAGGUCAGACUCACGAGGAUGGUCUUCCUGCCACAGUACACAGCCCCUGUGUUUGAGAGGUUCAUGUACGGAGGUUUAUAUCUUGUUCACACAGCAGUCCAGCGCCGACUUGACUUCCACAGCUGGGCAUCUCUUGUGGAAGUGCUGCUCCUUCCUGUCUUCCGCGUCUGCCUCCUCCUGGUCCUUGGAGGCCUCUCCACUCAGCAGGUAGAUGAAGAAGAAUGGGGAAGGUUGCAGAUUCAUGUCUUAUGGAUCCACCGCGGAGCAGUCAACACCAAUAUCUUCACACUCCAUCACCCCUAGCUGCACGGGAGGCCGGAGAUGUGGGUGUCUGUGUGCCCUGGAGUGAAGGGGAACAGUUUCCAGGACAGUUCAUCCAUCUCUAUCAUAGAAACCAUAGUCUACAAGAUCAAUGAGAGCCAUCUUGAUCCUUUUGUGGAAAGAGAGACCCCUUGAUUUACCAGGAUUGGGGAAGUCUCAAGAUAAUCACUGUGUCAAUAUGUGUGCGAGUAUGUGCGUGAGUGCAUGUUCCCCAGAAACCAAAGCCCGAGGCAAGGCUCACAAGCUCCUGCCUUCUUAGGAGGUGCAACCCCAGGAAGCGGAAGCGAGGGCAAGGAGAACUAAUAGGAAGGUCCAGUCUGAACUGACCAGCACCUGGUAUUAAGAGCCAGCCAUUGCUUGGUUUUAUGGGGCCAUCUUCCUAAAGUCCAUAUAAACAGUUGCUGCUCAGGACAGGUUAUUCAAGGAGGAGAAAGAAAGGACAUUUAUCCACUGGCUUCUGCUGCUCAUUGGCCAAUGAUUCAUCCAGGUUGCAAGAACUCUCUCAGUCAUGCAGGGAUAGGCUCUAGGCAAAUCCUACGGCAUCCCUGAGCCCCCGAGGCCAGGAAGAUCUUCAGAGCAGGGAAUGGAAGGUGCCUGGCGUGGACAUCAGGUGAGGCACCUGCCGAAUCCAGUUGGAACCCGUGGAAAGAUCUCUGGUGUCUCCUUUGCCAAGCUUACAGAAGACAGAAUUGGAAGGCACCAAAAUCCAGAUGCAGGUUGGCACCAGGCACCGGGUUAGCCCACAACAAGACCCUGCCCACAAUGAGACCCCACCCACAACGAGACCCUUUCUGAAGCUCAGCGGGGUUCUGCUCUGCACUGCAUCUGACCUCUGGAGAGUUCGAGUGUUGCUGC